rnacentral:rRNA from 1 species
UACAGAGGUCUCGAGCGUUAGGCGGAAUCACUGGGCUUAAAGCGUGUGUAGGUGGAUCGUUAAGUACCUUGUGAAAUCCCACGGCUUAACCGUGGAACUGCUUGGUAUACUGGCGGUCUUGAGCCACUUAGGGGCUACCGGAACAAAUGGUGGAGCGGUGAAAUGCGUAGAUAUCAUUUGGAACGCCAAUGGUGAAAACAACUCGCUGGGGGUGUGCUGACGCUGAGACACGAAAGCCAGGGGAGCGAACGGG